rnacentral:tRNA from 1 species
GUUAAUGUAGCUUAAACCAUAUAAAGCAAGGCACUGAAAAUGCCUAGAUGAGUUCUCCACUCCAUAAACA